rnacentral:rRNA from 1 species
UACAGAGGUCUCAAGCGUUGUUCGGAUUCAUUGGGCGUAAAGGGUGCGUAGGUGGCGCCGUAAGUCAGGUGUGAAAUUUCGGAGCUUAACUCCGAAACUGCAUUUGAUACUGCGGUGCUUGAGGACUGGAGAGGAGACUGGAAUUUACGGUGUAGCAGUGAAAUGCGUAGAGAUCGUAAGGAAGACCAGUGGCGAAGGCGGGUCUCUGGGCAGCAACUGACGCUGAGACACGAAAGCAUGGGGAGCAAACAGG